rnacentral:rRNA from 1 species
UAGGGAAUCUUCGGCAAUGGGGGGAACCCUGACCGAGCAACGCCGCGUGAGUGAAGAAGGUUUUCGGAUCGUAAAGCUCUGUUGUUAAGGAAGAACGAGUGUGAGAAUGGAAAGUUCAUACUGUGACGGUACUUAACCAGAAAGGGACGGCUAACUACGUGCCAGCAGCCACGGUAAUACGUAGGUCCCGAGCGUUGUCCGGAUUUAUUGGGCGUAAAGCGAGCGCAGGCGGUUAGAUAAGUCUGAAGUUAAAGGCAGUGGCUCAACCAUUGUAGGCUAUGGAAACUGUUUAACUUGAGUGCAGAAGGGGAGGGUGGAAUUCCAUGUGUAGCGGUGAAAUGCGUAGAUAUAUGGAGGAACACCGGUGGCGAAAGCGGCUCUCAGGUCUGUAACUGACGCUGAGGAACGAAAGCGUGGGGAGCGAACAGG